rnacentral:rRNA from 1 species
GACGUAGGGCGCAAGCGUUGUCCGGAAUUAUUGGGCGUAAAGAGCUCGUAGGCGGUCUGUCGCGUCGGUCGUGAAAACUUGGGGCUUAACCCUGAGCUUGCGGUCGAUACGGGCAUGACUGGAGUUCGGUAGGGGAGACUGGAAUUCCUGGUGUAGCGGUGAAAUGCGCAGAUAUCAGGAGGAACACCGGUGGCGAAGGCGGGUCUCUGGGCCGAUACUGACGCUGAGGAGCGAAAGCGUGGGGAGCGAACAGG